CCUACGGGUGGCUGCAGUGGGGAAUAUUGCACAAUGGGCGCAAGCCUGAUGCAGCCAUGCCGCGUGUGUGAAGAAGGCCUUCGGGUUGUAAAGCACUUUCAGCGGGGAGGAAGGCGUUAAGGUUAAUAACCUUGGCGAUUGACGUUACCCGCAGAAGAAGCACCGGCUAACUCCGUGCCAGCAGCCGCGGUAAUACGGAGGGUGCAAGCGUUAAUCGGAAUUACUGGGCGUAAAGCGCACGCAGGCGGUCUGUCAAGUCGGAUGUGAAAUCCCCGGGCUCAACCUGGGAACUGCAUUCGAAACUGGCAGGCUAGAGUCUUGUAGAGGGGGGUAGAAUUCCAGGUGUAGCGGUGAAAUGCGUAGAGAUCUGGAGGAAUACCGGUGGCGAAGGCGGCCCCCUGGACAAAGACUGACGCUCAGGUGCGAAAGCGUGGGGGGCAAACAGGAUUAGAUACCCGAGUAGUC
rnacentral:rRNA from 1 species